rnacentral:piRNA from 1 species
UGUGCAGAACUGUCAGUAAGUGAGGCUC